UACGUAGGGGGCAAGCGUUGUCCGGAAUCAUUGGGCGUAAAGCGCGUGUAGGCGGCUCGAUAAGUCUGCUGUGAAAGUCCAGGGCUCAACCCUGGGAUGCCGGUGGAUACUGUCGAGCUCGAGUCCGGAAGAGGAGUGUGGAAUUCCUGGUGUAGCGGUGAAAUGCGCAGAUAUCAGGAGGAACACCGGUGGCGAAGGCGGGUCUCUGGGCCGAUGACUGACGCUGAGGAGCGAAAGCGUGGGGAGCGAACAGG
rnacentral:rRNA from 1 species